ACAUAGACAAGGAAAACAAAGAAAAGAAGAGGAAGGGUACCGACAAUAGAAAGGGGCCUGCAAAGGCACUGUUCAAAGGAAAAAAGUAAACCUCACCUCUUCAGGCAGAAGACAAGGACAAGCACACCAUCAGGGCGACCAAUCAAACAAACAAAGCACUCACCUCCUACCUUUGCCUCUUAUGUUUGUGUUAUCUAAUAUUAUUCCGAGUGAGCACCACUGCAAUCUCUUAGAGUUGCAUACCUAAGACUAUAUAUGCCUAAGUUUACUUUUCGGACCUCCGGUACUACUAUCUAUGUAUAAUUAUCCAGUAUGUAAACCUUUGUUCGCUAUCAUGUACUUUCAGACUUAAUGAGGUAGCAGUUUAGUAACUAUGUUAUCGUUUCA